CACAGAAGGUACAGAGAGAGGCUGUAUUUGUGCAGACAGAUUCUACCUUUGGCUGUCGCACAUUUUGGGAAAAGGAAAGCAGUAUUGAUCAAGGAUUUGUAGAAAUCCCUCUUGGUGAUGAAAAAUUAGCUCCAACUACAGAGGGAAAAGUGUCCAAGCCCAGGAGGGUACCAAUCAUAGGGAGGCUGAAGACAUUUAAAUUUUGGCUACUUACCAAACUAAGGCAGUUAAUCAGAUACUGACUGUUCUUCAUUUUUUUCACAAAAACUGAAUGAAAACAAGAACUAAAGCACUGUGCAUGCAUGA